rnacentral:rRNA from 1 species
UACGUAGGUGGCAAGCGUUGUCCGGAAUUAUUGGGCGUAAAGCGCGCGCAGGCGGUCCUUUAAGUCUGAUGUGAAAGCCCACGGCUCAACCGUGGAGGGUCAUUGGAAACUGGGGACUUGAGUGCAGGAGAGAAGAGUGGAAUUCCACGUGGUAGCGGUGAAAUGCGUAGAGAUCGGAGGAACACCGACGGCGUAGGCAGCGCCCUGGACGACACCUGACGCUGAGGCACGAAAGCUGGGGGAGCGAACAG